rnacentral:rRNA from 1 species
AGCGAACGCUGGCGGCAGGCUUAACACAUGCAAGUCGAGCGCCCGUGGCAAUACGGGAGCGGCAGACGGGAGAGUAACACGUGGGAACGUGCCUUUUGGUUCGGAACAACCCAGGGAAACUUGGGCUAAUACCGGAUAAGCCCUUACGGGGAAGGAUUUAUCGCCAAAGAUCGGCCCGCGUCUGAUUAGCUAGUUGAUGAGGUAACGGCUCACCAAGGCUACGAUCAGUAGCUGGUCUGAGAGGAUGAUCAGCCUCACUGGGACUGAGACACGGCCCAGACUCCUACGGGAGGCAGCAGUGGGGAAGUAUUGGACAAUGGGCGCAAGCCUGAUCCAGCCAUGCCGCGUGGGUGAUG